rnacentral:rRNA from 1 species
AAUGCUUUCGGGCAUGAGUACAGUGGCGGACGGGUGAGUAACGCGUAGGAACCUACCUGGUAAUGGGGGAUAACUCGGGGAAACUCGAGCUAAUACCGCAUACGCUCUACGGAGGAAAGAGGGCCUCUAUUUAUAAGCUCUCGUUAUCAGAGGGGCCUGCGUUGGAUUAGCUAGUUGGUAGGGUAAAGGCCUACCAAGGCGACGAUCCAUAGCUGGUCUGAGAGGACGAUCAGCCACACUGGAACUGAGACACGGUCCAGACUCCUACGGGAGGCAGCAGUGGGGAAUCUUGGGCAAUGGGCGCAAGCCUGACCCAGCCAUGCCGCGUGUGCGAAGAAGGCCUUCGGG